rnacentral:tRNA from 1 species
UGACACGUAGCUCAGUUGGCAGAGCAUUGGGCUAGUAUUCCAAAGGUCGUAGGUUCGAAUCCCAUCGUGGCCG